CACUCCCAUCCCUACUCUCAGUGCUGGCUCUCAGCUGAAUCCAAUUGAAGCUCAAUGUUUCAGUUCUGAUCUUUAAAGGCCAGCAUGUGAUUGGCCUUGGCAACCUAACGGAUGGUCUCAGUCUCCCUGAUUACGACCUCUCAUGACAACUGCAUUCCUCUGGGGAACUGGAAAUGUCAGACAUCAAAGUAAGACCCAUAAGUGUGUCAGACAGUUUUCUCAGCAGCUGGCUUGUGACUAAGAAAUUCACUGUGACAGAGAUCAGAGUGACCACAAACAAAACUGUAAAGCUCAGAUGUUUGACCUAGAUUUCCCAACAUCAUGAUAAAAGGAAAAGCAUCCAUUGACAAGAUGAUGAAGAGGAACAGUUAGGACAGAUUCUCAGCUGCUGUAAAGGUGUAUUGUUUGGCUAAAGACAAAGGAGAUGAGUAUCAUUAACCUGUUGGUCCUCACAUGCGUAUUAGUUGCAAGAGAAAGUUGUGUUGGAAGAUCUGUCUGUUAGAAAAUGAUUAUUUGAUGAAAUUGAAGGUGUUUACCAGAGCAAUUUUUAAAGGUAGCAGAAGUAGCAUGUUCCUGUAGUGUUAAUAUAUUUUAUUUUGACCUUGUGAAACAUUUUUAGUUCAAAAAAGUCAAAUUGUGCAAUGUUUCAUGCUAAUUUAGGGUAUUGUAAUGGUUAAACCACAUCAACUAGUGCAUUAUGUCAAGUCAAAGUAAUAUAAUAGAAUAUGACACUUUCUGUCACAACACAAUCUUUCCCAGCAUUUUUGUAGGUAUUCUAUUAUUGACAUCACACUCCUAAAAUAAAAUAAAUUUGAAGUAAUAUUUUAAUUGUUCUAUCACAAUAUAAAUAUUUCAAUUUCUAAUCCAAUUACUAAUAUAACUAUUUUAUCGAUUGCUUACAGUCAAAAUAAAAAUUUCACCAUUUGCAGCAGACUGGAAUUUUCAAAUUCUCCAACUUUUCUCACACUUUAUUAUGACGCUUAGAUGACCAAAUUCUUCAAAGGUAACUAUAACACAAUAUGAUAGAAAAAUCAAACUACAUACACCAUCCUUUGUAUCAUAAAUAGGUUUAUUUAUUUAGAAUGACUGCCAGUGUCCAAUCUUCAAAGAUGUUCAGAUGUUAACAAAUAUUUAUAAAAGCAAACAAACCAUGAAUAUAUUCUGCUCACACAGUAAUUUAACAGUUUUCCCUCUGUAGUUUAAAGACAUAUGUCUCUCAAUUUUCUCCCUUUACAACAUGCAGAUGAUGAAAAAUAGCCUUAUCACCCUAAGUGAUUUUAGAUAUUCAUCAUUAAGUCUGUAUUUAUUAUGCAUAGGAUCCAUUAAGGAGGAUUUGUCUCUGUGGUAAAGGCCUGGGUUUUGUAGGGGUUGCAGGAACAUCUGUGCAGUCAUCCUGAUACUCCCUUUACAGUGUGACACAAGCCUUGGUGUUGGAAUUUCAUUAAGCUCUAGGCAUUUCAAACAAGGCCUGCAAGAGUGGCUAACAAAGCUGGCAAAAAGGAGAAGACAACAUCAACUUAGGUACAAGGAGGGACCACACACCUCACAGCUUCGCUCAUUGCUUAUUGCUGACUUUGUCGUACAUCUGUAAGUUUAACUACUUAACGGACAAAACAACUUCACAGAUUUUCCCA